rnacentral:rRNA from 1 species
UGGGGGAUAUUGCACAAUGGGGGGAAACCCCUGAUGCAGCGACGCCGCGUGGGCGAAGAAGUAUUUCGGUAUGUAAAGCCCUAUCAGCAGGGAAGAAGAAAUGACGGUACCUGAGUAAGAAGCACCGGCUAAAUACGUGCC